rnacentral:rRNA from 1 species
AGCAGCCGCGGUAAUUCCAGCUCCAAUAGCGUAUAUUAAAGUUGUUGCAGUUAAAAAGCUCGUAGUUGAAUUUCGGGGUUAGUAGGUUGGUCAUGCCUCUGGUAUGUACUGGUCUCACUGAUUCCUCCUUCCUGAUGAGCCGUAAUGCCAUUAAUUUGGUGUUGCGGGGAAUUUGGACUGUUACUUUGAAAAAAUUAGAGUGUUUAAAGCAAGCUAACGCUUGAAUACACUAGCAUGGAAUAAUGAAAUAGGACGUUCGAUCCUAUUUUGUUGGUUUCUAGGAUUGACGUAAUGAUUAAUAGGGAUAGUUGGGGGCAUUAGUAUUCAAUUGUCAGAGGUGAAAUUCUUGGAUUUAUUUGAAGACUAACUACUGCGAAAGCAUUUGCCAAGGAUGUUUUCUAUUAAUCAGGAACGAAAGUUAGGGGAUCGAAGACGAUCAGAUACCGUCGUAGUCUUAACCAUAAACUAAUGCCGACUAGGGAGUCGGAUGAUGUUUAAUUUUUUUAAUUGUACUCAUUCG